rnacentral:rRNA from 1 species
GAUGAACGCUAGCGGCAGGCCUAAUACAUGCAAGUCGAACGAUAGAAGAGAGCUUGCUCUCUUUGAAAGUGGCGCACGGGUGCGUAACGCGUAUGCAACCUACCUUAAUCAGGGGGAUAGCCCGAAGAAAUUCGGAUUAACACCGCAUAAAAUCACAGUACAGCAUUGUACACUGAUCAAAUAUUUAUAGGAUUAAGAUGGGCAUGCGUGACAUUAGCUAGUUGGCGGGGUAACGGCCCACCAAGGCGACGAUGUCUAGGGGAUCUGAGAGGAUGACCCCCCACACUGGUACUGAGACACGGACCAGACUCCUACGGGAGGCAGCAGUAAGGAAUAUUGGGCAAUGGAGGGAACUCUGAACCAGCCAUGCCGCGUGCAGGAAGACAGCCCUCUGGGUCGUAAACUGCUUUUAUUCGGGAAUAAACCUACUUACGUGUAAGUAGCUGAAUGUACCGAAGGAAUAAGGACCGGCUAAUUCCGUGCCAGCAGCCGCGGUAA